rnacentral:rRNA from 1 species
CACGUAGGCACCAAGCGUUGUCCGGAUUUAUUGGGCGUAAAGAGCUCGUAGGGGGUUCAGUAAGUCAGGUGUGAAAUCUUUGGGCUUAACCCAAAGCGUGCACUUGAUACUGCUGUGACUUGAGUUCGGUAGGGGAGUGGGGAAUUCCUAGUGUAGCGGUGAAAUGCGCAGAUAUUAGGAGGAACACCGGUGGCGAAGGCGCCACUCUGGGCCGAAACUGACGCUGAGGAGCGAAAGCGUGGGUAGCAAACAGG